UACAGAGACCUCAAGCGUUAUCCGGAAUCAUUGGGCGUAAAGCGUACCGAUAGGUUGUUCAUAAAGUCUUGGGUAAAAGCCGGAAGCUCAACUUCCGCGUUUGCUUAAGAUACUUAUAGACUAGAGGGGCAAAGAGGUGCUUGGAACCAACGGUGUAGUAGUGAAAUGCGUUGAUAUCGUUGGGAACACCGAAAGCGAAGGCAGAGCACUGGGUGCCACCUGACACUGCUAGGACGAAAGCGUGGGGAGCGAAUGGG
rnacentral:rRNA from 1 species